AGAGCCUGGCAGAGUUUCUCCCAGAACACCUCUCUGUGCUCUCCGACUCGAGGCCAGCUCAGGCAUGCUUCAUACAAACUGUGAGCUGACACAUUACCUGGCCACCUGGAUUUCUCUGGAGCACCACUCACUCUCAAGGAGGAGAAAAAGUAAUGGUCAGAAGAAAAAAUCACUUUCCUCCUCAUGAACUUCUCUGAGACUGCAGUACAACAAGUACUACGGUGACACCUUCUGGAGUAUAAAUGAAAAUACAAAAUGAGCUGCAAUGGUUUAAGUGCAUCAAAAUCUGAUAUCUUUUCUGUGUCUUGAAGAACAUAUCUGAAACAUAUAUGAUAAAAAUGCAACAGCCCAAUGUGUAACUCUUACUUCUACUUCACCAUAAACUUUCUCU